AGCCAGUUGCUUGAACUUUAUCUCUUUCACCAAUUGUUUGAGUUCUGUUUCUGUAAGUAUCUGGAAUCAUUUUUCUCUAGAACACUUCAGAAUGUACACCACUCCCAGUACCAUACUGUGUAAUGAAGGGAUGGGGGGUGGGGACAUCUUGAAAUAACGUUUUCUAAAGGUAUUAAAUUUCAAAGUCACCAGUCUCUGAACCCACCAUGAUAGGACAGAAAUCUAAAUAUUUUUCUCAAAGUGAAAAUAGCAAUAAAAUCUGAGAACUAUGAUUUCUAAUGAAUAAACUUGAAAGCCUUUUAAAAAUCAAGCAGUAACGUGUAGAUGAAAGUGAUCUUAAUGCAGAUGUACUAUCCCUAUAAGCCUCAGCGGGUACUUGAUGGAGCAUCAUUCAAAUAGAGCCUCAGGCUCUCCACUGUCAGAGCUGCUUUAAUAACCUCAGGGUUGGUUGUGACCCACACAUAUACUUUAAAACAUUUUUAAACAGAUAAUUUAUAAAUUUUAUAAAUGACCUUAUUGCCCCCCACCCCUUUUUUUUUUUUUUGGACACAGAAUCUUGCUCUGUCGCCCAGGCUGGAGUGCAAUGGCUCAAUCUUGGCUCACUGCAUCCUCUGCCUCCCGGGUUCAAGCAAUUCUCUGCCUCAGCCUCCCAAGUAGCUGGGAUUACAGGCACCUGCCACCACGCCCAGCUAAUUUUUGUAUUUUUAGUAGAGACAGGGUUUUAUCAUCUUGGCCAUGCUGGUCUUGAACUCCUGAACUCAUGAUCCACCUGCCUCAGCCUCCCAAAGUGCUGAGAUUACAGGCGUGAGCCACCGCACCUGGCCUAUUAUCCACUUUUAAAGAGCCUAACCAUACCUAAAAAGGUAGGCUGAGUGUUUGAAUAUGUGAGCCGGGCGUGGUGGCUCAGGCUUGUAAUCCCAGCAGUUUGGGAGGCCAAGGCAGGCAGAUCACCUGAGGUCAGGAGUUUGAGACCGGCCUGGCCAACGUAGCGAAACCCCGUCUCUACUAAAAAUACAAAAUUUAGUCGGGCGUGGUGGGUGCAUGCCAGUAGUCCCAGCUACUCAGGAGACUGAGGCAGGAGAAUCACCUGAACUGGGGUGCCAGGUUGGAAGUGCAGUGGUGCGAUCUCGACUCACUGCAACCUCCGCCUCCCGGGUUCAAGCGAUUCUCCUGUCUCAGCCUAACCAGGCUCCCAAGAGAAAGACACAUUUAGCAGUCCAAGAAAUACAUGCUGGCAGGAUGAGUCAGGCCUUGCUAGCCCGACCAGGGUCAUCUCCACUGUAAGCAAAACACAUGGGAAGCCCAAUCACAGGGUUUCGUGGUGAUCAUGCAGGCAGGUGAGCAUUCGCUUGGCUAUAUUUGUCCCACUACCACCUUCUGAGCUCGUCAGCAAGCUCCUGCGCAGUCUGGUGUUUUUGUUUUGUUUUGUUUUGUUUUUUGACAUUGGAGUCUUGCUCUGUUGCCUAG
rnacentral:lncRNA from 1 species